GACGAACGCUGGCGGCGCGCUUAACACAUGCUAGUCGAACGGAAAGGCCUGCUUUCCCUUGUGGAUUGCGGGUACUCGAGUGGCGAACGGGUGAGUAACACGUGAGUGAUCUGCCCCCAACUUGGGUAUAAGCCUGGGAAACUGGGUCUAAUUCCCGAUAGGACUGCAGGGUGGUGCCUGUGGUGGAAAACGAUUUUCUAGUGGUUGGGGAUGAGCUCGCGGCCUAUCAGCUUGUUGGUGGGGUAAUGGCCUACCAAGGCGGCGACGGGUAGCCGGCCUGAGAGGGUGGACGGCCACAUUGGGACUGAGAUACGGCCCAGACUCCUACGGGAGGCAGCAGUGGGGAAUAUUGCACAAUGGGCGGAAGCCUGAUGCAGCGACGCCGCGUGGGGGAUGACGGCCUUCGGGUUGUAAACUCCUUUCGACCGCGAGGAAGCCACCUGGUUGGAAGGGUGGUGACGGUAGUGGUAGAAGAAGCACCGGCUAACUACGUG
rnacentral:rRNA from 1 species